AUGAGAAGGGUUUGGAUGGACAAGCUCCUUGCUCUCACUGUCACCGGUGUCCUCUUCAUGUCCAAUGGGGUUGGCGCCGCCGCCGCACCGCAAACGACAUGCAAGGCAGCGCCCGACAUCGACAAGCGCGUCAACUAUGAUUUCUGUGUGUCGCAACUGCUAGAUCACCACGAGAGCACCAUGGCCGAUUUCGGUGCGGCGGGGCCUCGCCAAGAUCGCGGCCUUGAUGGGAGCCAACAACGCCGCUCAUGCCAAGGUUGGCAUCGACGCCUUGCUAGCAAAGCCGGGCACCGGAGACCAGAUGAAGCGUUUGCUAGGGCAGUGCCUUAUAAGGUGUUCUGUUUCUACGACUCCGCAGGAUCCCCUCGACCACCGCUCCUUUUUCCUUCCUUCCUCGCGCGACUAGCUGCUUCUUCCUCUAGAUUGGACCGCUUGUUCCUCUCGAUUCACCGUCAAUCCUUGCUCCUUUGUAGCUCUCGGGGCGGCUUAGAACUUUUGGGUCUUCCGGGCGGCAAAAAUUCCAACAUGUCAUUUUAA
rnacentral:rRNA from 1 species